AAAACUUCUACAACUAGAAACUCCAGUUGCACCUGGAAUUGAAUUUCCCAGAAUCAUGCUGGGGUCAAUGGUGGUAUCAGAAAGGUAAAAAUAUUCUGAUCAAGUAUUGCUAAAAGAUGAUCCCCAUCACUGCUUUUACACCACUUUCAAACACUUUACAAAAUUUGCCACACAAAAGUGAAUGUGUUUGAGCCUAUUCCUAACCCCUAACCCUUAUUAUCUAAUUAUCUAUUUAUUAUAACUUAUAUCUAAGUACACUGUAGCUGUCUUCAGACACACCAGAAGAGGGUGUCAUAUCUCAUUACAGAUGGUUGUGAGCCACCAUGUGGUUACUGGGAUUGAACUCAGGACCUUCGUUAGAGCAGUCAGUGUUAUUACCCACUGAGCUAUUCUUUAACCCCUAACCCUAACCACUAAUGCUAAUCCUAAUCCUAAUCCCUAACAGCAACCCUAACCCUAGACCUAACCUAACCCUAAUCCUUUUAUCUGUUGACUCUUCUCAAUGAUGACUGGACACAGUGUAGAAUUAGGCUUAGAUUACUGCCAGUUUGUCAUUAAUGUUUGUCUGAGGACAGAGACUUUAAUCCCAUAUGGAUUUCCUUCAAGUCUCAUACUCUAAGUCCCUUAAAUACCUCACUUAUUCCUUCAGAACCUCCAAAGAUUUGUAGGUUUUUUUCUCAAGUUGGAAAGUUCCUUCAUAAUCUAUAUAUAAAUCCUACUUUGUUAAAACUAUUUCAAUGUUUACAUCAUUCUAACAUUUUAUAUUUGUUAAUACCAUAAGAUACAAUAUGUUUAACAAAUAAAUCCGCAAUCUAUUGUAAGAAUAUUCCGGGGAGAGAAAUAAGCAAUGUUUAUCCCCUCUUUCUAAGUUUUCAAUGGCACCACAUUUCAAAAUUAUCAUAGUUCAACCAAAGGUGCCAGUGAAAUUAUUGGGUUUUACAUACAGAAUAUUGACAAGGUGUUUCUUAUGAGACCUGUAUAUCCUAGAAUCAGUUGCAAUAAAAAUGCUUUACUCAUUAUGUAUGGAGACAAUUUCACAUUACAUAAAUAGUUAUAUCUCUUCCCCCUUUUAAAAAUACUGGUCAGCCAUGUCCUUUUUUUUUUUUAAAAUAUAAAUAAAGAAUUAGUAUUAUUUUAAAAGUCCUGCUGUGAUUACUUUAUCCAAGGUAUCUGAAGGCAUGAAGAUAGUUGUAUUCUAAUUUAGAAGAUAGGAAAGAAGCUCCAUGCUGGAUCUUUAAAUUAUUAUACUGUUUUUUAAAUAAGGCUGUAGUGAUUAUGAAUAUCUUUUAAAUUAUUAAACUGUUUAUGUCUG
rnacentral:lncRNA from 1 species